rnacentral:rRNA from 1 species
GGAAGCUUGCUUCCGAUAGGCGUCGACCGGCGCACGGGUGAGUAACGCGUAAUCCAACCUGCCCAUCACUUGGGGAUAACCUUGCGAAGUAAGACUAAUACCCAAUGACGUCUACUAGAAGACAUCUGAAAGAGAUUAAAGAUUUAUCGGUGAUGGAUGGGGAUGCGUCUGAUUAGCUUGUUGGCGGGGUAACGGCCCACCAAGGCGACGAUCAGUAGGGGUUCUGAGAGGAAGGUCCCCCACAUUGGAACUGAGACACGGUCCAAACUCCUACGGGAGGCAGCAGUGAGGAAUAUUGGUCAAUGGACGAGAGUCUGAACCAGCCAAGUAGCGUGCAGGAUGACGGCCCUAUGGGUUGUAAACUGCUUUUAUAAGGGAAUAAAGUGGGAGUCGUGACUCUUUUUGCAUGUACCUUAUGAAUAAGGACCGGCUAAUUCCGUG